UGAAAACAUCAUUUCGAAUAUCAGAUCUGGAAUUGGGUAAGAUGGUUUAGGAGGGGGCGGGGGAGGGAACGAGUUGGUGAGUUGAUCCAAGAGGUCUGCAUCGGGUACCUCAACCCUUUUAGCGGCCGCAUCAAUACCAUUGUCUCACAGCUGCAGACGGAACCAUCAUUCAAUUUUCGCGAAUCCACCGCCAUCUCUUAGUUUCCUAGAUCCAACCGCCCAUCGGGUUCCUUCGUAAAAGGUCGGUAAUCGAUUCCAUGAUAUACCAUUGCAGCCGUUGACACAGAGAUUGCCAUGGAAGCGUCCGUUUUCAUUCUUUCAGAACCACAAGCAAAACCGAGACCGAACUCAAUUCGUUGAAACCCUCGGUUGCUUCUUCGAUCUGAGCCGAAUAAGUCAAAUCGCUUCUCUGAUUAUCUGGCUUUCAAUUUAUAUGUAUAAUAUAGAUUUUUGGGUGGGAGCUAAAGUCACUGUGGAACGAGAGAAGAGCGAUUCACGAAUCAGAGCUUUAUGUUUUGUCGAUACGAACGCCUCUGUGGUGUUGGAUUACAGAGAUGAGCUCGGAAAUUAGUUUUGAUUUCGUGAAGCUCUGGCCAUGGUUCUGUGCUAGGAUUCAACUUUGGAAAGCUCCGAAUUUUUAGGCGGCUUGUUGGGUGACUCCGAUUUAGCUUUUAAGGCUGGGAAGCACCAGUAAAGGCCGUUCAGGAUGAGGAAGUCAUCAAGCAUAAGCUCUGUGAAGAUUUAACUAGUAUGGUACAAAUGAUGUUUUUAACAAGGUUAACGUUUACAAAGAAGGAUUGAAGGAAGAGGCAGAACCAUAUGUCAUUUUAGAAAGGGGCAAUGCGGUUGAAGAGCGAGUCGACGAAGCAGGGGGCGGCG